UACGUAGGGUGCGAGCGUUGUCCGGAAUUAUUGGGCGUAAAGGGCUCGUAGGCGGUUUGUCGCGUCGGGAGUGAAAACCUCGGGCUUAACUCGGGGCUUGCUUUCGAUACGGGCAGACUGGAGGUAUGCAGGGGAGAACGGAAUUCCUGGUGUAGCGGUGAAAUGCGCAGAUAUCAGGAGGAACACCGGUGGCGAAGGCGGUUCUCUGGGCAUGACCUGACGCUGAGGAGCGAAAGUGUGGGGAGCGAAUAGG
rnacentral:rRNA from 1 species